rnacentral:lncRNA from 1 species
CGUCCGAAGUGCCGCUUCUCCCUCAUUCAUGCCUCUCUGCCUUGCUGCUUUUCAAAAAGUCACGAUUUGUUUUGUUUUCAUUUUGUAGCUGUCAAGUGGCUCGUUCACACGGGAAGCCUCUUGGCAAAACUCAAGGCCCAUGGCUGUAGUUGAACAGUCCUUCGGUUGUUGUCCCCUCCUUGACAGGGCUUUCUUUGUGCUGAUGGGGAGAGUGGUUGCCUGUGGCCUACACAAGUGUAGUACAAAUUCUUUUUUUCCAAAAGGCAAAUCCACUCUGCACUUAGUGUGCACAACAGGAUAUCUUCCUUUGCCAACUCGAGAUGUGUUGGCUUCAAAAUUUUGCUUGAUGGCCUAAAAAUUGGAAUGUCAGAUGAUGCAUUUUUUGUUUGCUUGUAGAUCUUGGGCACAGUGUGCAGUUAAUCUGUGAGGCUUUGUUGAAACAAAAUUGUGCUUGCUAAUAUUGCAUAAGGUGCAUGCCUUUGCUCGGGUGUGCUGUUGAGGCAUGCUGUCGCUCCACUUUGGUAUUAAAUUUAUUGUGGGUAUCGCCUAGUAACUCCAUGGAAGUGCUGGCCGUAUGGCGAGCAUGUCGGAUUAUGUUUGGAGGCUGUCACUGCUGGCCAACAGCAGUACUUCUCAAGGUGUUUCCUGGUGUUCGGAGCUUGUCCGGCCCACGCAAUCCUGUGCUGUCUGGUUUCUGCAGUAAGCAAAGUGUGCCGCACUUCAGAUCCCGACAUAGUUUGCCGACAGCAAGUUGUCCUGCAGAAGUGGGUGUCCUUUGCAGAGCAAUCCUCCAGGCUCGCAUUAGUGGUGCGCGAGCUGCAUUCACUUUCAACCGCUGCUUUAUGGUGUGACACGAACACGCAGAUUUUUUCUGUUCUACUGUUGUGUGUGUGUGUGUGUGCGUGCAUGUGGCUUGUGAUGAUUCGCAUUGUCCUUAUUUUAUUUUCAUUUUAUUUUUUUUUGCGUCUCAACCUUGAAGUUUCGACUUCACAGUUCACAAAGGCAAGGUUGAAGCAGUCCUGCAACAUACCAGUGUGCGUGUUGGCUUAUCAAGGCCCCUCUCCAGUUUUUUUUCCCACACACCCUCAGCUUCA